CGAGGAAGUGUCGUAAUGCGUUUAAGGAAAGCGGGGUGAACGUGAAGCUUGAAAUGAAAUGUGCGUGGGGAGGCGCAUUUCCGAUUUCGCCUCAUACGCUGCGCGGCACUGGAGCAGAAAGCGCCCCAAUCAUUGCGAUGCCGAUGCGAUGGCUGCAGUGAGUGAAGUCGACGAGGAGCAGCUCACGCGCAGACGCACGAGAGCUGUGCACGUACAGUAUACAGUAAUACAUUUCCGGACAGUAGUGUGUGGGCAGAGAUUUACUAGCAGUGGCAAAAAGAAGCCUCUGAAACAACCCAAGAAACAGACAAAGGAAAUGGAUGAGGAGGACAUGGCAUUUAAACAGAAACAGAAGGAGGAGCAGAAACAGCUGGAGGCCAUGAAAGCCAAAGCUGCAGGGAAAGGACCGCUGGCAAGUGGUGGAAUCAAGAAGUCUGGAAAGAAGUGAAAUCUUAUUUCAAGAAGCGUCUCGUGACCCCCGUCUCAAUAUGCCUGAGAUGUGUUUAUUUUUCUGGGUCCAUUUUGGAAGACAUAUUUGAAUUACCUAGCUGUUAUUCUUUAAAAAUGAAAAUAAAGUGUUUUUUUUUUCUUUUUUGUAUAUAAAA
rnacentral:lncRNA from 1 species